ensembl:lncRNA
GGACAAGGAGGCACCUCUGACCCCUCCCUGCAGCAGGCCUCUGAAGCAACCCAGGAAGUCCCAGAGAGAGGAAGAGAAAGGAUGAAGGAAGCAGAGUCAGGGUGGAGCAACACCAGGUCGGGAUCUGCUGUGUCUGUCUUUGAAGAAGAAGAGGCCACCAGCCAAGGAAUACAGGAGGCCUCUAGGAACUGGGAAAGGCUCUCCCUUCUCCAGAGUCCACUUCGUCUUCAGUCCACACAAGGGGGGCCCCUUUUGCCCCAAGGAUGUCUUCAUGGAGCCUCAUGUUAUAGCAUUCUUAUUAUUUAAAUAGAGGGUGUCAUUCAGAGAAGAGAACAAGAGCUGUUGCUCAAAUCCUGGCUUUUGUUCCCAGCACCCAAAUUAGAGCUUGUGCCCAACUCUGAGCCAUCACCGCAGCCAGGAAAACAGGAUGGUCUUCAACCUACCUGGGUCCUUUCUGGAGCUCAGCAUGCCUAUGUGACUGAAAGGGUAAACGGCCCAAUGGAAAACCAGGGUCUCAAUAUAGCAG